rnacentral:rRNA from 1 species
GAUGAACGCUGGCGGCGUGCCUAAUACAUGCAAGUCGAGCGAAUGGAUUAAGAGCUUGCUCUUAUGAAGUUAGCGGCGGACGGGUGAGUAACACGUGGGUAACCUGCCCAUAAGACUGGGAUAACUCCGGGAAACCGGGGCUAAUACCGGAUAACAUUUUGAACCGCAUGGUUCGAAAUUGAAAGGCGGCUUCGGCUGUCACCUAUGGAUGGACCCGCGUCGCAUUAGCUAGUUGGUGAGGUAACGGCUCGCCAAGGCAACGAUGCGUAGCCGACCUGAGAGGGUGAUCGGCCACACUGGGACUGCGACACGGCCAAGACUCCUACGGGAGGCAGCAGUAGGGAAUCUUCCGCAAUGGACGAAAGUCUGACGGAGCAACGCCGCGUGAGUGAUGAAGGCUUUCGGGUCGUAAAACUCUGUUGUUAGGGAAGAACAAGUGCUAGUUGAAUAAGCUGGCACCUUGACGGUACCUAACCAGAAAGCCACGGCUAACUACGUGCCAGCCGCCGCGGUAA